AUGGCCACGCCUAGCAGCGACCACACGUACGGCCAGCAGCAACCCAACUCCGACGACGGCUGGUUGGAGCGACGCACGAUGGCGUCCAUCAUCCUCGUGGGAUUCCUGCUCAUCGUGGUGCUAGCCAAGGCGAUCCACAGGUUGUGCUCGCACCUGCAGGUGCAGGAGAGGCCGGAAGGGAUCCGUGGUCCGGCCCCGAGCAACGCCGGUGCUGAUCCUGCUCAGGUGCUGAAGAAGGUGCAUGCGGCCGGGCCGGUGGUGUGCGUGUACCGGAGGAGCGACGGGUGGCGGGAGGCCAUGUGCCCGGUGUGCCUGUCGGACUUCGCGGACGGCGAGGCCGUGAGCGUGCUGCCGGCGUGCAUGCACUACUUCCACGCCGCGUGCGUCGGCGAGUGGAUGCGCGCGCGCGCCACCUGCCCGCUCUGCCGCUCCGAGCCGGAAUCCGGUGUCGUCUGA
rnacentral:rRNA from 1 species